UCGACUUGUAUAGCUACCUAUCCUCUCCUUUUCUUUUUCUAUCACUAGUAAACUUGAAUGAAUACAGUGCUUUUGCAAGAUGAAAGAGUGAAUAAGAAUUUGCUCAAGUGAAGUUGUACUUCUCUUCGGUCUUGAUGGUCUUCUAUUUAUAGCUGCGACUGCUGGCCUGUUUUGUGAUGGUAUUGAUGAGAUUGUGGAAAUCAGUUCUUUCCUUUGAUUGAUAAUCCAAGUGCUUGCUCUAAGGUAAUCCAAGGGAUUUGCCCUCAAAUCAAGAAUCUGUGAGAUUCUUGAUUUGCAACCUCUUGCUUCUUGAUUGAUAUCUAGAUGGGGCUCCUCCGAGAGUUUGGUGCAGAUUCUUGAUUCAUAUCUUGGUGCUGCUUCUCCUUGAUUCUUGAUUGAUAAGUCUGAAUCUUCUUUUCUUCUUGGAGCAGUGAUUUGAUUGUCUUUCUUGAUUUAUUUUCUACUCCUCUUGGUGCGCUGAUUUGUGUCUUUCCUUUUGUGAUUGUGAGGUUUCGUACUGGUAAUUAAUGCGCGUUGCUGGAGCUCGUUGCUGGAGCUCUUUCAUCUUUGGCAGCUGCUUGAUUUCUUUUCCUUAUUGGUCCUCCGGGACAGCCAACGUAUUUGGCUGCAAGGUUUUCCUUUUAGGAGAAGAAUCUAUGAAGGGGCUGUAGUAAUUGAGGUUGCUGGUGAUCUGACCACGUCUUUGUCCCUGAUACGGAGUGAUCGGACUGUUGAAAAAUAUCAAGCUGAGGCAUGAAUAUUGACGAUCGAGUAAGAAGCUUCUGCACCAUCAGAGAUUAGAUUUGGAUGUGGUUGUGAGUUAUGUUCUUCUCUAUCACUUUGCUCAAUUUCUCCUGUAUUUCAAUUCUCUUUCUUCUUUUACCUUUUCGUCUUCGCUAUAAUCCCUCUUUCUCUUCGUUACAAUUUCUCUAGCAUGUCCCUUGUUCAUUUAGUUAUUCCUUUUCUCUUUAGUUGUUCGGCUAUUGGCGUAUGUCAAUUUGGAUUUUGUGUUGGUUUCCUCACUUGUACUUUUUAAUUUGUAGUUUG